rnacentral:misc_RNA from 1 species
GCGUCCCGCCGCCGCGAUCACGCGUUACGUUCCGCCAUCUUUAGUGCCCACUAAACAUUUCUGACAGACGGCUGCGCACACGUUUCAAGAUGCCUCGAAAAUAUAUUAAGAAAAAAGGACCAACUUACACCAUUGAAACUUUACGAAGAGCUGUGCAAGAAAUUAAAGAAAAAAAGACUCCUUUUCGACAGGCGGCAGAGAAGUAUGGCAUUCCCAGAGCGACCCUUUUUGAUCAAGUGAAAAAAGACUGUGUUAGUACCAUGCCAAAAA